rnacentral:rRNA from 1 species
UAUGUAGGGUGCUAGCGUUAUCCGGAUUUACUGGGCGUAAAGGGUGCGUAGGCGGGCUGGUAAGUCAGCUGUGAAAGUUUACGGCUCAACCGUGAAAUUGCAGUUGAUACUGUUGGUCUUGAGUAUACAUGAGGUGGGCGGAAUUUGUGGUGUAGCGGUGAAAUGCUUAGAUAUCACAAAGAACUCCAAUUGCGAAGGCAGCUCACUGGGGUAUAACUGACGCUGAUGCACGAAGGUGUGGGUAUCAAACAGG